rnacentral:rRNA from 1 species
UUAAGUCUUGACGAGUAAGAGGGUCGCGGCGGUGAGCGCAGAAGGGUCAGGGCGAGAGCCUGCCUGGAGCCGCCGUCGGUGCAGAUCUUGGUGGUAGUAGCAAAUACUCUAGCGAGGGCCUGGAGGACUGACGUGGAGAAGGGUUUCUUGUGAACAGCCGUUGCACAAGAGUCAGUCGACCCUGAGCCCUAGGAGAAAUCCAAUGUCGAUGGGUAGCUUGACAAAAUGCGCAAAAUUUUGUUGCAAAUUGAAACAGCUCCUGUCGGGCAAAAGGGAAUCCGGUUCCUAUUCCGGAACCCGGCUGCGUAACCGCCACUUUGCGGGCACUUGCUUGCGAGCGCUCGUCGGGGUAACCCAAACUGGCCUGGAGACGCCGGCGGGGGGUCUGGAAAGAGUUUUCUUUUCUUUAUAAGCGUUCGAGUACCCUGGAAUCCUAUAGCAGGGAGAUAGGGUUUGGAACGCGAAGAGCACCGCAGUUGCGGCGGUGUCCGGACCUUCCCCCCGGACCUUGAAAAUCCAGGUGAGGGCCACGCGGAAGUCGCGCCGG